GGCUCAAUGGUCUAGUAGUAUGAUUCGCGCUUCGGGUCAAUCACGUGAAAAUCACGUGAUUACAUGUGCGCGAGGUCCCGGGUUCAAUUCCCGGUUGAGCCC
rnacentral:tRNA from 1 species